rnacentral:rRNA from 1 species
AAGUCGGAUCUGGGAGAUUUUCUGGAACAGUUGAACUUGCAAGAAGAAGAAUUCGAUGACCUGGUUAUCGAUGAGGAUGAUCCUGAAAUCAACGAAAGUGUCAGAUGGCUCGCCCUAGCUAGGGUUCAUAGUGACAAGUCCUUCAGCCAGACAACUUUUUACAGGGAGAUGCGCGCGGCGUGGAAUACAGCCCAGCCGGUUAGGUUUCGGCCGGUUGGACCGAAUCUAUUCGCCGUGCAAGCUUCCUGUCUGGGUGAUUGGGAG